rnacentral:misc_RNA from 1 species
GUGAAAACGUAGGACUUGAAUUAUGUACCAAGUCAGGCCAACAGAGAUGCAGAAGGUUCAGUGAUAAAAGAAAAAAAAGAUACGAACAGUUAGUUCAUGUGCUGCAAAAUGGUGGAUAGUGCCAAGUGUGCAGAGUACAGGCUUGGAGUGUGGUUUGCUGAAUCCUCUCCUCUCCUCAGCCUGCACGAUUGCCAAUGUAUGUGAAUUACUGAAUCUGAUCCUCCCAGAGGUACUGCAUGCAUCAGCUUUUUGCAGCACUUGAAAUACUUGCAUCAUGCCUUUAUAUUUGUCUGUUUUUUAUAAUUAACAUACUUUUUCAAGACAGGAUAAAUGGAAAAGUAACCAAGAACAAGC